GACGUAGGGCGCGAGCGUUGUCCGGAUUUAUUGGGCGUAAAGAGCUCGUAGGCGGCUUGUCGCGUCGAAUGUGAAAUUUUAGGGCUCAACCCUGACAUUGCAUUCGAUACGGGCAGGCUUGAGUUCGGUAGGGGAGACUGGAAUUCCUGGUGUAGCGGUGAAAUGCGCAGAUAUCAGGAGGAACACCGGUGGCGAAGGCGGGUCUCUGGGCCGAAAUUGACGCUGAGGAGCGAAAGCGUGGGGAGCAAACAGG
rnacentral:rRNA from 1 species